GUUAAAUAUUUAAAAAAUAACAAUAGUUUGUUUACUAGAAUUUACUUUUUGUUUUCAACCAUCGAAAACAAAGUAAUUUUCGAAUAAUCUUGUUAGCGUUGGACGAAUGCAUAUAAAAUACUGUAUUAACGUCCGAAGAAUCCGGAUUCAAUUCCUGACUCCCGUAACUUCAAAAGUUUAUUCAGAACGGUCCGGGUCCGGAUCGUUGAACUCCAUUCUUAAUCGGUCGGAUAGGAGAGAUAGAAAUGUUUGUUUCCAUUCUGGAGGAUCCAGGUUCAGUUCCCGGAUCCCACGCCUCAAAAAAGUUUUUUCAGAAGGUUCCCUCAUUUUGAUCCCCAUUCUCCAUCUGAUAGCUGACUUCAUUAGAGAUAUGAGAUAUCAUGAACAUACUGGAUGCCUCACUUAGAAUCCACCGGGUGGAAAGCGGCAUUAUGCCACAGAAAAUUCCAUCAUUCACCUGACGGCCGAUCCCACUACAAAUGUGAGUGAUCAGUGAUUACUCAUUGACAUAUAAGGAUGAAGUUAGUUUUAUUUUAUGUUAAUUAACAUCAUUAUUUGUCUUUGUCUUUUUAACAUUUUCAGAUUUUUAUUAAAAGAAUUAAUCAUUGCUUUAUAUACAAAUAAAAUAUUAAGACC
rnacentral:lncRNA from 1 species